UACGUAGGGGGCAAGCGUUGUCCGGAUUUAUUGGGCGUAAAGAGCUCGUAGGUGGUUCGGUAAGUCGGAUGUGAAAUCUCCAGGCUCAACCUGGAGGGGUCAUUCGAUACUGCCGUGACUAGAGGUCGGUAGGGGAGUGUGGAAUUCCUGGUGGAGCGGUGAAAUGCGCAGAUAUCAGGAAGAACACCCGUGGCUAAGGCGGCUCUCUAGUACGUGACUGACGCUGAGACGCGAAAGCGUGGGGAGCGAACAGG
rnacentral:rRNA from 1 species